rnacentral:lncRNA from 1 species
UUUUUUUUUUCCUUUUUAUGGCUGCACCUGCAGCAUAUGGUAAUUUCCAGGCUAGGGGUCGAAUGGGAGUUACAGCUGAGGCCUCCGCCACAGCCUCGGCAACACUGGAUCUGAGCUGCAUCCAUGACCUAUGCCACAGUUUAUGGCAAUGCCGUAUCCUUAACCCACUAAGUGAGGCCAGGGAUAGAAUCCAUAUCCUCACAGAGACAACUUUGGGUCCUUAACCUGCUGAACCACAAUGGGAACUCCUCCAAUAAAUAUAUUUUUUUAAGUAAUUUAAACCAAAAAAGUAAGAUUUAACUGUGAUGCAGAGUUUUUGCAAUCAAUACAUAUCCAGCUAUCAAUUUAAAAAGCAAUCUACCACACUUUUACUAAAAAUCAUUUGAGAAACUUUUGAAAUCUGUUAUUUAUAAUAGCAGAGGUCCUCAAGUGAAAGACAAAAGACCUAUUUAUGAACAAAAGGAUUUCUUUAAAAUUUUCCAAGUUGCUCUAGUUUGCCAGCCCCUCCGCCCAUGGUACCGCAAAGCAGUUAAUACAAGAGGUUUUUAUUGUUAUGCCGACUCCUUAGUUGAGCAAAUUUAACUAUUGAACUCAUAUCUCCAAAUGUGCAGGGUUGGAGGAGAGAGGGAGUUUAAGAGUAAGAAAGAAUAGGAUUUCCAGACGUUCCCAGAAAUUCAGGAUGGGGGAAAAUGUAAUUUUUCUUGCAAGUGGCCACGGAUGCACCUUGUAGCCAAAGUCUGCUUUACAGACACCUAUGGUGAUCAGCUGUGCCUUCUGCAGAGUAAUUUAACCACACAACAGCUGAAAGGGGAAACAAGAUUUAGUGCAAAGAGCACCAUGCCGACUCACAAUAUUGCCCAUAUUAAGCGGUGUAUUUCCGGAGUCAGAGUUUGGGUCAUGAAAAAGUAAAACUGGCCCCGGAGAAGAGAACUGUUUCUCACAGAUUGCCAUUUAAAUCUCAAAUGACCAUGUUUCACAGCAUGCUCAAUACAUUCCAGCAUGUAACUGCAUUUUAAUUUCCUAAAACCACAGGAUACAAGUCUGAUUUCAAAUAGUCUCUGGACUGUGAUAUUCAAUACUGAUAAAACUGUAUGGUGUUCUCUUGAAAGUUCCAAAGAUUUAGCAUAUGGAAAAGGAUCUUCAUUUUCUUCGAAGCACUAUUAUCAAAGAAAUUAACUCCCCUGACUUUUGUAAAUGAACUCUAAACAAUGACUAUUAAGAGCUAAAGCUAUUGCCAUAAGAAAUGGAACUUAAGAGAUUACAGGACAAGAACACACUAUAUAUUCCUCACUCACCAGGGGGUAGUACAUACUUGACAAAACCUGCAUUUUCUUUGCCACGAAAUGCUCAUUAGUGCUUUUACUUUGGGAAAUGAAUUCAAAAUACAUUAACAUCAAUGAAUCUUUACUUGAAUGUCCAUUCAGUACACAGAAAUCAUUCAGCCACCUUUUUAACUUUAUAAAACAGGGAGAGUCUGUGAGUGCUUAAAUCCUCAAGUAUUACCUAAGAAGAGAAGCAGCCUUUAAAACAGAUCAAGAAGGAAAAAAUAAAGGUGAAAUUGUGUUUUAAGUUUGGGAGUCAGAAAUCAAUUGAAGAUCAUUAUUCAGUUAGAAGGAACUAAUAAAGAUUAACUUUUAUGUAUGAACAUGAAACAAUACAACACGAUGUUCAGUGGUUUUCACACUGGCUCUGACCUGACCUUGAGAAAAGAUGAAGGGAAAAAACUUUUUUGAGGGGAUGGAGUGGAUAAGUACAGUUGACCUUGAACAACACGGGUUUGAACUAUGUCCACUCACUGAUUUUUUUCAGUACUAAAGUACCACAUAAUCCAAGGAUGGCUGAAUCCAAGGAUGUGGAUACAAAGGGCCAACUCUAAGCUAUAUGUGAAUUUUCAGCUGGGCAGAGGGUUGGCACCCCUAACCCUCCAGCUGUUCAAGGGUCAACUAUGUGUGCUUUCCUCUAAAGGACUAAACUGCCUUUUACUUUGAGCCCGACUCCAAAACUGACACAUCCAAUAAUUAUUUUUAAGCAAAAAAAUCGCUUUGAUCAAUGAAACAGAACUUAGAAUGAAAGUAUGAUUAAUAACUUAAGGUGCAGGAACGAGAAAGCUCUGGUUGUUCUACCUAGAAAAUCUAGAGCUAACCCCGGGUGCCUGGCAUAUGAGUCAGCUGGUCUCUACGGCCGCACUUCAUCAGAUUCUUAAGUAUCAUCAUGUGUAAGAAGUGCCCACUCCUGAUUUCCUAACAGCUUUAUAACAUAUCUAAUGGGCACAUGAACCAAUUUCCUUUUAUGAGCAAAAAAACUGAUUUGUGUGGGAGGGGGGCGGGGAAGCACAUCUUAGAAGAAAUGACUGCGUUUCUUCCCUUGCCCCCUUCGUCUUCCUAUUUGAUUUUUACAUUUAUUUCCUUCUCCUGACCUUCCCAUUUCUCUUUUCCCUUUUCCCCAUAAACUGAGACGAGACUGCAGGUGGCCAGCAGGAAAACACUGCAUUCCCAAGAAGUAUGCCUGCCAUACUUCUUAGGUCCUGGAUGUGCAGUGUUGCAACUAAUGCAACGCAUCACAGAGCCCGGAGAGCAGCACAACUUGCGCCUCAUGAGCAAAGCCACAGAGACGCGCAGUGAAGGUGGGGUGGGCUGUGGGGGAGAAUGGCUGUGACUGAGAGUGGGGCUCAGGUGAUGCGGGUGAACAGAGCUGCGUGCUUUUUCGAAGAGAGGGAUCAGAGCAAUAAAGGCAAAUGCUGACGAAACAUCUGACAUCCAUGGGAUGCAGUGUCCUGACUUGUCCAACAACCACCAGCUACUCUCAACGUGUUUGUUUUACUCUAAUCCUCAUUAGAGCUCAAUAUGAGCGGUCUUACUAUUAUCUCAAUUUUGAAAGCCUGGAAUCUGAGGCCAGAGAGAUUAUUAAACUGCCUCAGGGCAGACACCCUGUUUACCAGCUCAUGAUGGAGCAGGGGUCUAAAUGCAGGAGGUCUGACUCAGGGCUGUGCUUUUAGUGUCUGUACCCGCUACCAGUGCACAGUGUCCAAAGGGGAAUAAUAACAGAGCAUGGCUGGGACUAUUCCGGGCAGGAGAUGGAAGAAAGGACGGAAAAGAAGCAGCACCAGAGACGCAAGAAGGCAAGGAAGGCAUCAAAAACCCAUACGGCCUGUCGACCCUGUGAAACCAUUCCACAACUUUAUUUAGCCC